GUGUACCACGCGUCCACUCCGGUUCCUCCGCGCCGUGCACACCAACCUGACGACCGCUCGCUACGGUUUGUUAGCC
rnacentral:sRNA from 1 species